GGGCUAUAGCUCAGUUGGUA
rnacentral:tRNA from 1 species